GCUGGGCACGGUGGCGCGUGCCUGUAAUCCCAGCUACUUGGGAGGCUGAGGCAGGAGAAUUGCCUGAACCCAGGAGGCGGAGGUUGCGGUGAGCCGAGAUGGCGCCAUUGCACUCCAGCCUGGGUAACAAGAGCGAGACUCCGCCUCAA
ensembl:misc_RNA Metazoa_SRP Metazoan signal recognition particle RNA